rnacentral:rRNA from 1 species
UACGUAGGGUCCGAGCGUUGUCCGGAAUUACUGGGCGUAAAGAGCUCGUAGGUGGUUUGUCGCGUUGUUCGUGAAAACUCACAGCUCAACUGUGGGCGUGCAGGCGAUACGGGCAGACUUGAGUACUGCAGGGGAGACUGGAAUUCCUGGUGUAGCGGUGAAAUGCGCAGAUAUCAGGAGGAACACCGGUGGCGAAGGCGGGUCUCUGGGCAGUAACUGACGCUGAGGAGCGAAAGCGUGGGUAGCGAACAGG